CGCGGAUGUAGCAAUACAUCUGGCGGCGAGCGGCGGACGGGUGAGGAAUGCGUCGGAAUCUGCCUCUUUGUGGGGGAUAACGUAGGGAAACUUACGCUAAUACCGCAUACGACCUACGGGUGAAAGUGGGGGACCGCAAGGCCUCACGCAGAGAGAUGAGCCGACGCCGGAUUAGCUAGUUGGCGGGGUAAAGGCCCACCAAGGCGACGGUCCGUAGCUGGUCUGAGAGGAUGAUCAGCCACACUGGAACUGAGACACGGUCCAGACUCCUACGGGAGGCAGCAGUGGGGAAUAUUGGACAAUGGGCGCAAGCCUGAUCCAGCCAUGCCGCGUGUGUGAAGAAGGCCUUCGGG
rnacentral:rRNA from 1 species